GACGAACGCUGGCGGCGUGCUUAACACAUGCAAGUCGAACGAUGAAGCCGGAGCUUGCUCUGGUGAAUUAGUGGCGAACGGGUGAGUAACACGUGAGUAACCUGCCCUUGACUCUGGGAUAACUGCUAGAAAUGGUAGCUAAUACCGGAUACGACCCUCGGAGGCAUCUUCAGGGGGUGGAAAGAAUUUCGGUCAAGGAUGGACUCGCGGCCUACCAGCUAGUUGGUGAGGUAAUGGCUCACCAAGGCGACGACGGGUAGCCGGCCUGAGAGGGUGACCGGCCACACUGGGACUGAGACACGGCCCAGACUCCUACGGGAGGCAGCAGUGGGGAAUAUUGCACAAUGGGCGCAAGCCUGAUGCAGCAACGCCGCGUGAGGGAUGACGGCCUUCGGGUUGUAAACCUCUUUUAGUAGGGAAGAAGCGAAAGUGACGGUACCUGCAGAAAAAGCACCGGCUAACUACGUGCCAGCCGCCGCGUAA
rnacentral:rRNA from 1 species